rnacentral:tRNA from 1 species
AGUAGCUUAGCUCAGUUGGUUAGAGCGUGGUGCUAAUAACGCCAAGGUCGCGAGUUCGACCCUCGUAGUGAUCA